GACGAACGCUGGCGGCGUGCUUAACACAUGCAAGUCGAACGGAAAGGCCCUGCUUUUGUGGGGUGCUCGAGUGGCGAACGGGUGAGUAACACGUGAGUAACCUGCCCUUGACUUUGGGAUAACUUCAGGAAACUGGGGCUAAUACCGGAUAGGAGCUCCUGCUGCAUGGUGGGGGUUGGAAAGUUUCGGCGGUUGGGGAUGGACUCGCGGCUUAUCAGCUUGUUGGUGGGGUAGUGGCUUACCAAGGCUUUGACGGGUAGCCGGCCUGAGAGGGUGACCGGCGACAAUGGGACUGAGAUACGGCGCAGACUCCUACGGGAGGCAGCAGUGGGGAAUAUUGCACAAUGGGCGGAAGCCUGAUGCAGCAACGCCGCGUGCGGGAUGACGGCCUUCGGGUUGUAAACCGCUUUCGCCUGUGACGAAGCGUGAGUGACGGUAAUGGGUAAAGAAGCACCGGCUAACUACGUG
rnacentral:rRNA from 1 species